rnacentral:rRNA from 1 species
CCUACGGGAGGCAGCAGUAGGGAAUUUUCGUCAAUGGGCGCAAGCCUGAACGAGCAAUGCCGCGUGAACGAGGAAGGUCUUCGGAUCGUAAAGUUCUGUUGAAGGGGAAAAAGAGCGGAGAGAGGAAAUGGUCUCCGAUUGAUAUUACCCUUCGAGGAAGUCACGGCUAACUACGUGCCAGCAGCCGCGGUAACACGUAGGUGGCGAGCGUUAUCCGGAAUGAUUGGGCGAAAAGGGUGCGUAGGUGGCCUGCUAAGUCUGGAGUGAAAGGUACGGGCUCAACCGGUACAGGCUCUGGAAACUGGCGGGCUAGAGAGCAGGAGAGGGAGGUGGAACUCCAGGUGUAACGGUAAAAUGCGUAGAUAUAUGGAAGAACACCAGUGGCGAAGGCGGCCGCCUGGCCUGUUACUGACGCUGAGGCACGAAAGCGUGGGGAGCAAAUAGGAUUAGAUACCCUUGUAGUG